GCCAAACAGCUAGCUUAACCCACCCAAUUAACCAAAAAAUAUAAAUAAUAUAUAAAAACAUCAAACCCAAUAAAUAAACCAUUUUUCCACCCUAGUAUGGGAGACAGAAAAGGACCUAUAAGCAAUAGAUAUAGUACCGCAAGGGAAAGCUGAAAAAGUAAUGAAACAACCCAUAUAAGCAAUAAAAAGCAGAGACCUAACCUCGUACCUUUUGCAUCAUGAUUUAGCCAGCACCCUCAGGCAAAGAGACCUUUAGUCUGAAACCCCGAAACCGAGUGAGCUACCCCGAGACAGCCAAUUUGGGCCAACCCAUCUCUGUGGCAAAAGAGUGGGAAGAUCUCCGGGUAGAGGUGAUAGACCUACCGAACUCGGUGAUAGCUGGUUGCCCAGAAAAUGAAUAGAAGUUCAGCCUCGUUCUCCUUAAGUUAAUAAAGCAAUAUCUAACUAAGCACAAAAAGUAAGACACGAGAGUUAGUUAUUAGGGGUACAGCCCUAUUAACAAAGAAUACAACCUUAACAGGAGGAUAAGGAUCACAUUAUACAAGAUAUAUUGUCUCAGUGGGCCUAAAAGCAGCCAUCUGAACAGAAAGCGUUAAAGCUCAAACAAUACAAAAUUUAUUAUUCUGAUAAAAAAUCCAACUCCCCCAAAACUACUGGGCUAUUCUAUGCUAACAUAGAAGAAACUAUGCUAAAAUGAGUAACAAGGGGACAAUUCCCCUCCCGGCACAAGUGUAAGCCAGAUCGGAUAAUCCACUGGCACUUAACGAGCCCCAUAAAAGAGGGUAAUGUGAAAAUAACAAAAACCAAGAAAAUCCCACAAUAUAAAAUCGUUACCCCUACACCGGAGUGCCCCAAGGAAAGACUAAAAAAUAGGGAAGGAACUCGGCAAACACAAGCCUCGCCUGUUUACCAAAAACAUCGCCUCCUGCAAAACUCAAUGUAUAGGAGGUCCAGCCUGCCCAGUGACCACAAGUUCAACGGCCGCGGUAUUUUGACCGUGCAAAGGUAGCGCAAUCACUUGUCUUUUAAAUGAAGACCUGUAUGAAGGCCAAACGAGGGCUUAACUGUCUCCCCUGUUAAGUCAGUGAAAUUGAUCUAUCCGUGCAGAAGCGGAUAUACAACUACAAGACGAGAAGACCCUUUGGAGCUUAAGGUACAAACCCAAUCAUGUUAAACAAUACAACAAACAGUAUUAAACCUAAUGAAACAUGGGACUCUACCUUCGGUUGGGGCGACCAUGGAGAAAAAAAGAUCCUCCACGUGGACUGAGCCAACAAGCUUAAAACCAAGAAAGACAUUUCAAAGUCACAGAAAAUCUGACCAAAUAUGAUCCGGCCAAUAAAGCCGAUCAACGGACCAAGUUACCCUAGGGAUAACAGCGCAAUCCUCUCCCAGAGUCCAUAUCGACGAGGGGGUUUACGACCUCGAUGUUGGAUCAGGACAUCCUAAUGGUGCAGCCGCUAUUAAGGGUUCGUUUGUUCAACGAUUAAAGUCCUACGUGAUCUGAGUUCAGACCGGAGCAAUCCAGGUCAGUUUCUAUCUGUAACGUCACUUUUCCUAGUACGAAAGGACCGGGAAAGAGGGGCCAACACUAAAAGUGCGCCCCACCCCUAAUUGAUGAAGUCAACUAAAUCAAAUAAAGGGAGGACCCAUAUACCCGCCUAAAUAAGGCCAC
rnacentral:rRNA from 1 species